UAGCCGAGUCAUUUAACUUCCAUUUUCAUUUUCAUUGGUGAUAUGAAUUAUAGGGCCCCUACAAGAGGUACGUUGGUCAAUACUGAAAUGGUUGCUUGUUUUAUGUUAUUUAUCUUCCAUAACUGGCGCCAUUCUAUUGGAGAAACCAUUGGAAGCAUAAGCUCAUUGGAAACAUUUUAUACCUUAUGGUGCUCCUCCGCUUGUACAGCACCUGUGCAGCCUCGCAAUUAUGGUCCUUUUAUAACUUCUUCUCCCCCUUCAAGCAAACCUUUUUCGAAACCACUACUGAAGAAGAACGGAUCAGUGUCCAGUGCCAAUCACCCACUUCCAAGCUUGUCAGAGACUGCACCAGCUCAAUCUGAACCUAGCAUUUUACCCACUGGUUUAGCUCAGCCACAACUGUCUGCUAACUUCUCUAGUGAUGUUAUAAUUCCAGACCAGUUUGUGUUGCUAGUCACCAAAAAGAAAAGAAAGAAACCGCCACCACUCCCAAAGAGAAAUAAAGAAUGUAACUAUAUUUUUUUCUUCAAUACAGCUCCUCUAUCUGCUGCGUCUCCAACAGAAGAACCUACACACCUUUCAACAACUCCAGCAGCACUUGUCAAUUCAAACAAAACAAACCGCACAAGUUUAGUUCUUAUAAUUGGUAUUGGAGCCACUAUCCUCAUUGUUGCGGUCGUAUCCGUCUUUGUAAUUUGUUCAUGCACAACACGUCAAAGGAAGGAAAACAAGCCUUUUAAAGAAAUAGGUUUGUAAGUCAUUGCAUUUCUUUCCCUUUUGAGUUGUUGGGGUUGUGUUGAACAGGCUAAAUAAAUUCUAAGAUGGAUAUUUCCUUAUAAACAUGGUUCAUAUGUCUUUUAUCAAAUUUCACCUUCUCAUCUAUUAAUUUUUUCAAAUAGCAAAGCAAAGACGGUAGAUACAGUUCCAGCGGGUGGAUCUCUUUGCCAUAUAACCAGUACAAGGUUUCUCACCUUUGAAGAACUAAAAGUGUUGAAGAUACCGAAAGAUUAUUGGAGAUUUGAUGGAUUAUUUAUUUCCUUAUAUGUCAAUUUAUUAUAGUUAACAUAAUAUUCUUUCCUUAGUUGUAGAUACAGGAUAUAUUUACUAUUUUGGUAUGUAUUCUACUCCUAUAUACGAAUUGUACACGGCUGGAAUAAAGACAUAGCAGUUUUCUCUCUUUUAUGGUCUCUCCAUUCUACUCCUUGCCCGGUUUCAUGGUUUAGAGCCUAGGUUCUUGAGUAGGUAGGAUGGAAAAAUUGACCAUGACAGGUGCACGCAGAGAUGAUGAAUCGAGGUCCACUACAGCCAUCUUUGAACCCAUCUCUACAAGUGCACCCAUGACCUCAAAUUACCUUCCCAUGGCUGAAAAUACUUCCCUUCAUCUCACCAUCACCCAACCAAACAACAAGAACUAUUUGCAAUGGUCUCGAACUGCUCUCAUGGUGAUUCGUGGCCGUGGACGCUUUGGAUACGUGACUGAAACUAAACCAAAACCGAAUGAAGAUGAUCCUGCAUAUGCAACCUGGGAUGCUCAGAAUUCCAUGGUUAUGGCUUGGAUAGUCAAUUCAAUGGAAGAGGAUAUUAGGGGAUCUUAUCCGUAUUAUUCAACGGCAAAGGAACUCUGGGAUGCCAUUGCAGUAGCUUUUUCAGACUCGGAAAAUUCUGCCCAACUGUUUGAGCUCCGAAACAGAGCUCGAAAUGUUCGCCUAAGGAGAAUCGGAUGUCACACAGUAUUACAAUUCCUUGCAACGGCUAUGGAGAGAGAUCGACAUCUUCGUGCAAAUUAACUGGGAUACACCUAAGGAUGUUGAACAGUACAAGAAGCAGGCGGAGAAUGAGAGAAUAUAUGAUUCUCUGACCGGAUUGGUCCCUGAAUUAGAUGAAGUUCGUGGAAGACUACUGGGUAUGAAGCCAACCCCUGCAAUUAAAGAAAUCUUUGCAGAAGUGCACAGGGAGUCCAGUCGAAAACGUGUAAUGCUUGGAGACUCCAAGCAAUCUUUGGUGGAAACCUCUGCCCUUGCUGCUCGUGGACAAGAACCAUCACGGGUAGCCAAAAAAAUAACACUUGGUGCGAACACUAUAAGAGAUCCAACCAUUCAACCGACCGGUGCUAGGUUCUUCAUGGCCGACCUCUCAACCGAAACCAAUGGACCCGAAGUGAUGUGAGACCAAAUCUGGUUUACUGCAAGGAGACUGAGAUGCAUAACUCGUUCGGUCUGCAGAGUUCGGCCGAAUCACCGGUCACAACCCACUCGUCGGCUGCAACCCAAUCAGCGAACAUCUCUGUCUCUCUCUUACCAAAGACCAGCUUGAGAAAAUAUAUAGACUUCUCAAUCCUUCAGUCUCAACAUCCAGUUUAGUGGCAGAAAGAGGACCUGACUUCGGGGAAGAAGAUUGACAUUGCUAAGGAAUGUGGGGACUAUACUAUUUUCAAGAAGACGCUUACUGGAAUAAAUAAGUGCACACUGCAAGUUGCGAGUCUAUCUCUCGAGAACGGAAAAUAAUGUUGUGGCAUCGUCGUUUAGGGAAUUUGGGAUUAAGCUGUCCAUUGGAUUGGGACACUAGAACGAAAAUUGCUGUUGACGCUAUUAGAGGACUUGCAUACUUACAGGAGGACUCACAACCUUGCGUUAUUCAUCGAGAUUUUAAAGCAUCGAAUAUAUUGCUUGAGAACAACUUUCAUGCUAAAAUUUCUGAUUUUGGCCUUGCAAAAUAGGCCCCUGAAGGCAGGCAAAACUACCUGUCUACACGUGUUAUGGGAACCUUUGGGCUAGGCCAAUACUUAGAGAUAAGGAUUGAUUGGAAGAACUUGCUGAUCCAAGGCUUGAGGAUAAAUAUUCGAGGAAAGAUUUUUUGCGGGUUUGCACGAUAGCAGCAGCUUGUAUAGUCCCUGAGGCAAGCCAACGGCCAACAAUGGGAGAAGUGGUACAUUUACUUAAAAUGGUGCAGCGGAUUACAGAGUAUAACGAUUCUGCUGUAGCAUCCAAUACUGCUUCCAAUCUUAGGCAAUUGUCCGUGACUUUUGAAUCAGAUAUAUCAUAGUUAUUCUCUUCUGGUCGGUAUUCUGGUUUAAGUCAUUUUUACAAUGAUAAGGUUGUAUUUUCUGAAGAUCUUCAUGAAGGUAAGUAGGGUAGUAUUUUUAUCUAGUUUAUUCUGUAUGUUUAUGGUGUCCGGGAUAAUGAUGUCUGUAAGUCUUACAUCAUCUCUUGUAGAGAAUGAUUCUUCAAUUUUUCUAG